CCAGGGGCAAGGGGACAGUGGGGCCAGGAGAGCUCUACCUGAGGGCCUCACCAGGAUGGGAAGGGGGCAUAGCUAGCUCACUUGUAAAAAGUACCCGGGGUUCCCGCAAGCUCAUUCUCAGAGGUUAAUAGGUGUGAAAUCAGUAUUUAUCACAGUGGCCUUUUCCUUGUGUGAUUCUGUGAGUUCCCACCUCCUUUUGGAGCUCAGCAGGACACCUUCCCCUCCCCGGAGUCCAGAUCUGUGCGAGAGCCUUGGCUUGGUGUCAAGACUUCUGAUGGCAUAUCAGCCAACAUUUCUGUGAUUCUUGUCAAAAGCAGCAGGUGACUUUUCUCUGGCCACAGUGAUAGUCGAGGCCUCGCUCAAAUGGAAAAGAGACUGGAGCAUAUUGCAUUUGAGGGAUUUGAAGACAGAAAGACUACACCUUGGAUGCCUCUCCAUGAUGUGGGGCUUUGCUCUCAGACUGGUGAGAGGAAGAAGGCCACAUGGCCCAGAAGUAGCAUGGGCAGAAAUUCAGCUGAGGUCCAUCUGUACCCCAAGUCCAUGCUUGUCUUCACCAUGACAUUCCGUCUGGCUUUGAAGCUGCCUACACAUGGGUACUCAACAAGGCUUCACUAAUUGCUCUCCCAAUGGUCUCAGUUUGCAAUAUCAUCAAUAACGGGAACUAUACAACCUACUGCAUGGGAUUUCUAGGAGGAUUAAGAAAAAUUACCCACAUGGAAAUUUGGCUAAAUAAACAGGAUUGAACUGUAUCCUCUCCAAGGAUGUGUUGAAGUCCUAACCCCCAGGACCUUAGUAUAUGACCUUACUUGGAAGUAGGGGGUUUACAGAGAUAAUAAAAUUGAAAUGAG
rnacentral:lncRNA from 1 species